AGCCAGCAUGGUGCAGUGGUUUGAGUGUUGGACUAUGACUCUGUAGAGCAGGGUUCGAAUCCCUGCUUGGCUA